CCAUUUUUCUCUGAACCAUUAAAUAACUAAAUCCAGUGUUGCAAGAAGUGUCUUGGAUCUGCUUCUGUAGCUUAUGUAAAAGUACUGUAAAUCCCACCUAGAAGCGGUGUCUUUAUCUGCACUUGAAGUGACAGCUGCUGUGCAGCACAGCCCUGCUGAGGUGACUUCUCUGUGCUUCUCAGGCUCCUGGCGACCUCCCUGCUGCAGGGGGCCCUCCCAGCGGGGCUGUGCCCUUCUACAACCCUGCUCAGCUGGCACAGGCCUGCGCCACCUCCGGGAGCUCAAGGCUAGGGAGGAUUGGCCAGAGGUAGCACCUGGUGCUGAACUAGGCUUGCCCUGCUGUGAACUUGCACUUGGAGCCCUGACGCUGCUGUUCUCCCCGAAGAACCCGACCGACCUCCGCGAUCUCCGUCCCGCCCCCAGGGAGACACAGCAGUGACUCAGAGCUGGUCGCACGCUGUGCCUCCCUCCUCACCGCCCAUCGUAAUGAAUUAUUUUGAAAAUUAAUUCCACCAUCCUUUCAGAUUCUGGAUGGAAAGACUGAAUCUUUGACUCAGAAUUGUUUGCCGAAAAGAAUGAUGUGACUUUCUUAGUCAUUUAGGAUGAUUUAAGGAUAUAGUAUUCCUGGUCAUUUAAGAAUGUUCAUUCAGUGAAGCUGGAGCUGUCUCUGCCACAGGAGAGCCACAUGGUCGGUAGUAACCAGGGCCUCUCCAAGCCCAGCUGUGAGUCACUGCCCAGUGAGUCCCGCGCUUCCUUUAAGGUGCUGGGAGCAAAGAGAGGGUGACUGAGGCAGACCCCAACCCCUGCUCUGCACCAUCUGGGCCCUCGCCGUGUUUGAACCUGGCUGAAUGAGUGGAGGGUGCUGUGUUCUCAGUCAGCGCCUCCGAGGAGCCGUGGGGUUCCUUCGGCAUUAGUUCACGGUUUUUGAGAGAGGCCCUAGUUACUGCAGUGAAUUUCUUUCCUGUUGCAAAGACGUUUCCAGCCUCACUUUACUUUCUGUGGCCUGAUGAGGACCAUGGGUGAUUUUGUGUACCCAAAGCGCUGGGGACUGCCCACCGUGUGGCCCAGUCACUGGGAAGGAGCCCCAGAGAGCCGGCUGUCUGACACGAUGGCUCAGGGUGGUCAUCCAGGUUGAAAACUGACCGUGUGAUGUUUGAUUUGGGCUUCAUUUCGUGUGUAGGAGCACGGUUAGACUCACUGUUAAGGAAGCUGGAUGCACUUCUCUAAAAGGCUGCACUUUCCGUGAGCACUUUUCGUGGUACAAUCCACAUGACCCACUUUCUCCCCUGGGGGACGUUGGUUCAGAGGUUGGUAGCACUUGGGGAGAGUAUCUUAACACAGUUUCUUGACAGCAGCUCUGGAACUUAGUAUUUCUGCCCCGAGUUUUGCCACACUGAGACUUUUGAGUAGCUCCUGGUGGACUCAACCCUGUUCAACUCAGAGACGGGCCUCCUCUCACUGAUGCAAAGCUUUAAGGCUUCUCUGACUGUUCUGAAAACUCUUCGUAUUCUUGUCAAGUCUAAAGAGACUGAAGAAAAGAUUUAAAUACUAAUAAAAAUCAGUAGAUAAUUUCUGUAGGUUCUGCUGGAGGAAUACAAACUGUUUGGUGUUUUAAGUUUAAGUGUAGAAAUUGUAGAAUGUGGAAUUAGCACAGAUCCUUCCUGGCUUUCUGUUUCACUUGAUCAUUUAGCCUAGACCACCCAGGAUGUUUUCCAAAAUGUUUCACAGGCGUGUCCCGCUGGAUCCAUUUGUCCUUGUCACUUGGAGAAAGGCCAGUCCCUGUGACAGGGCAGCCCUCUCUGUCCCUCGGUCAGCUCGUGUGAAUCCUGGGGCCUCUUCCGGUCGGCCCUGCCCGCUGUUCUGGGGUCGCCUGCCACGACUUUUGAUUCAAGAAGCUUCCUCCAGGCGGGAGCGGCUAUUUUUCCUAAAUGAGAAUUGUUACAUUGCAAAUUGUUGAAUAAAAUAUUUUGCGCUCCUUCAAGCACCUUCA
rnacentral:sRNA from 1 species